rnacentral:rRNA from 1 species
AUGAAACGCGCCCAAGAAUCAGCUCCCCCGCCUGUGAAAAUCCCUACGCUCGAUUACUUCAAACCCCCGACCCGGUUUCACACCGCCGAGGUCUUCGCCGUCAGUGAAUCUGGAAGCAAGGCGGUGCUCUCUACUGCCAAGUUUCUUCUAGGGGUUUCAUACUCUCUUGAUGGUGAACCGCUGAGACGCUGCUCCGGCUUCUGGUUCGAUUGGGAUGAGGACAAGAAAACCGGCCUUGUUUUGACAACUGCGUGGCUGAUCGCACAAAGGAUUCUCCUGACAGCGGCUGGUCAGGCCGCGAAGAGUAUGCUCCGCAUGCUGAUGUGA